rnacentral:rRNA from 1 species
CGAAAGGGUGCGUAACACGUGGGUAAUUUGUCUGAGAGUUCAGGAUAAUACGCUGAAAGGCGGAGUAAUACUGGAUGUGGAUAUUGGCCGGGAACGGUUGAUGUCUAAAGCUGGGGACCGCAAGGCCUGGUGCUCUUUGGUAAGCCCGCGUCCUAUCAGCUGGUUGGUGAGGUAAAGGCUCACCAAGGCGGAGACGGGUAGCUGGUCUGAGAGGACGACCAGCCACACUGGAACUGAGACACGGUCCAGACACCUACGGGUGGCAGCAGUCGAGAAUUUUUCUCAAUGGGGGAAACCCUGAAGGAGCGACGCCGCGUGGGGGAUGAAGGGCUUCGGCUCGUAAACCCCUGUCAUUUGUGAGCAAGUGUUAUUGUUUAAGAGAUGAUGACAUUGAUAGUAGCAAAAGAGGAAGGGACGGCUAACUCUGUGCCAGCAGCCGCGGUAAUACAGAGGUCCCAAGCGUUGUUCGGAAUCACUGGGCGUAAAGGGUGCGUAGGCGGUAUGGUAAGACUUGGGUGAAAUCUCCAUGCUUAACGUGGAGGGAGCCUGGGAGACUGCCGUGCUGGAGGAUUGGAAGGGAGACUGGAAUUCUUGGAGUAGCAGUGAAAUGCGUAGAUAUCAAGAGGAACACCAGUGGCGAAGGCGAGUCUCUGGACAAGACCUGACGCUGAGGCACGAAGGCCAGGGGAUCAAACGGGAUUAGAUAUCCCGGUAGUCCUGGCAGUAAACGGUGCACACUUGCUGUGUGAGGGAUCGACCCCUUACGUGGCGAAGCCAACGCGAUAAGUGUGCCGCCUGGGGAGUACGGUCGCAAGACUAAAACUCAAAGAAAUUGACGGGGGCCCGCACAAGCGGAGGAACAUGUGGUUUAAUUCGAUGAUACGCGAGGAACCUUACCCGGGUUUGAACGUAGGGAGACA